GCUUCUCCAGAGUCUGGGAUCUUUGGUGCACGUAUAGGUAGGGGCCGGGAACCGGAAGGGCUUGGCUGCCUGGCGAACGGACGCACGGUCUUAAGCCAGGGGAUGACAAGGCCUUGUCAGCAAGGGAACCAGAGACAUUGGGGUAUAUUACAUUCGUGCUGCUCAGGAUGCAGGCCUAGCAUCCUGUUGGAUCAGCUCACCAAUGAGAAUCACGACACCCAUUUCCUUUUCCUGCUUCUGCACUUCAUUCCUUGGUCAGCUUUGUAGCUACCCUGUGCCUCAGUUUACCGGACUCUCAGAUGACUGUGAUCGUAACAGUUGUGCGUUCUCUUCGGUAAUGAUUUCUGAGGACGAGAUUGGUUCAGAUGAAAUAUCUGUGCGGUCAGAUGUAUUUUUUUGGAACAGUUGUCUCAGUGGUUGCCUGUUUUGUUCUGUGUCUUCAGCACAGUGGGUAUGAAUCUAACUACAAUCCUAUUUUCUACCUUUGGGGUUCAGCCUCAGGUAGUUGCCGUUCCAUGGGAUGGCAAUAAUAACAUCUAUAGCGACGUUUUGUUUUGUCAUUUGUUAUAUGCAUUUAUUUAUUGUCAUUUAUUACAAGCAUUUAUUACAUGUCAGUUUCAGCGUUAAGUUCGUAAAAUUUAUAUUUCAUAUUCUUACUGCAGCAGAUUUCAAGAUAGAUAUUAUGCAGAUGGAGUAUCAACAGCCCUGUUUUACAGGCAAAGCCUUGAGGUUCAGAAGAAUUGAGUGUUUUUCUCUCUCAUUCCCCAAAUCAAGUCCUGUUGAUUUGUUUAAAUACGUCGGUAAACCGGUCCAUUUUUUCAAUCUCUGUCACCUUGGACCAAGCUACCAUUAUGUCUUUAAUGGAUUGUUGCAUCAGGCUCCUUACUGGUCUGCACUCACUCUACACACUAACACUCCUUUCUCCCCUCAUCCCCUUUCUCCCACACAGCCAGUCUCUUCUGCACACUAUGGAGUGUGAUCUUUUCAAAAUGCAAAUCUGAUCAUGUCCCUUUCCUUCCUCCCUCCUCUGCCAACCACCUGUUUAAAAGUUUUCCAUGACUUCCUGUUGUUCUCAAGAGAGAGACAGAACUUCACAUGGCCUAUGAUGGUCUGGACAUCCCACAUGACAUUCUGCCCGCUCUUUGCCCAUCAGCCACGUUGGCCUUUUUAAAAGGCCCUCUUUUCUGCUCUCUCUGGUUACAUAGCCUUUACACAUGCUAUUAUGUUGCCUACUCUAUAUUAGGCAAAUAUUAGAAGUGAGAACCAAUUAUAAAUAUAACACACAGUUCUUGCUCUUGUAGAAUUUCAAAUCCUACAAGUGAGUUUGUCUUAGGGAAUACUUCUAUGGAUUUAAAAUAUAAAAUCUGCCCUAUAAUGACCUGAGUUAUGACCAGGUUGCACUGGGGACCUGAAGUUUCCAUGCUAGGGUCUGCCUGUGAUAUGGACAGAAUACUGAAGAUGGGUUCCACGGGGGGAAAGGGAGGGGAAGGGAAGAUUCUUUUGCAUUAGUCCGCAACAGUGUAAAGGAAGAGAGAAAUGUCAUCCAGUGGCAUUGUGUAUGAUGUCUUUCUCACCUUUUAGCUUUACAUUUGUGUUAUCCAUCUAUUCUGUUAAGAUUUAUUGAGCACCUAUUAUUUAUUUGCUAGACACUGGGAUUAUGACUUUAGCUAAGAUAGAAUCUGUGCACAAAGAAGCUUUUACUCUACUGAAACCAUAACCGUUGCCUGUGAGAUAGUUAUCCAUGUCUUCCACAUUUUACAGAUGUGGAAACCAAGGCUUAAGGAAAUCAUGACUUGCCCAAGGCCACUUGGUUGCUAUGUGGAACUAGGGCUCAGAACCAGGUCUAUCAGACUCAAAGCUUUUUUCCAUUUUCUGCUGGUGAAACAUGUUGAAUUGAUAGAGCAAAUUGUCUUCCUGUUUUCUUUAAAGAAGUUCUUUGAUAUUUAUUUCAAAUUUGCUUAUGACAGUAUCAUUGGUUAGAACAAAGUAUAGGCAAUUGAGUUUUAAAUCUUAAAUAGGAAAUGUUCAGUUACUCAUGACCUUUCUCAUUUUCUAAUCAACUUUAUUGAGGCGUAAUUUACGUACAAUAAUUUGCACCCGUUUAUAAUGUACAAUUUGAUGAGUUUGACAGGUGUAUACACCUGCAAAACCACCAUCAUAGUUGACAUAGAGAACAUUUCAGUCCCUUCUAGAAACUUCCUCUUGCUGAUUUGCGGUCAGUGUCUUCCCCCACCUUGGCUCCCAAGCAACCACUGAUAAUGUUUUCUUUUGCUGUAGAUGAGUCCAUAUUUUCUAGAAUUUCAUACCAAUGGAAACAUACGGUAUGAACUCUUGAGUCUGUCUAUUUUCACUAAGCAUAAUGAUUUUUGAGACUUAUUCAUGUUGUCAUGUACAUCAAUAGUUCAUUCCUUUUUAUUGCUGAGUGAUAGUCUACUGUGUGGAUUUACCACAUAUUGUUUAUUCAUUCACCUGUUGCUGAAGAACAUUUGAAUUGUUUCUGGUGUGGGGCUGUUAUGUAAAAAAUGCUGCUGUGACUGUUCCUGUAUAAAUCUUUGUCUUUCUUUCUAUUGGGUAAACACUCAGAAUUCCAAUUGUUGAGUUCUCUGUUUAGCCUUCUAAGAAACUGCCAAAGUGAUUCUGCCAUUUGUGUUAGUUUUCUAGUGCGGCUGGAACAAGUUACCACAAACCUGGUGUCUUAAAACAAAUUAAUACUCUCUUAGUUCUAAAGGUAAGUCUGGAUGCAAGGUUUUGACAGGUUAUGGUCCCUCUGGAGGCUCUAGGGGAGAACCCUUCCUUGCCUCUUGUAGCUUCUGGUGAUUCCUGGCAUUUCUUGGUUUGGGCAACUUAACUUUAUUUGGCUUCUGUGUUCCCCCGGCCACCUUCUCUGUGUUUCUGUGUGUCAAAUCUCCCC